UACGGGAGGCAGCAGUGGGGAAUAUUGCACAAUGGGCGCAAGCCUGAUGCAGCCAUGCCGCGUGUAUGAAAAAGGCCUUCGGGUUGUAAAGUACUUUCAGUCGUGAGGAAGGUGUUAAGGUUAAUAACCUUAGCAAUUGACGUUAGCGACAGAAGAAGCACCGGCUAACUCCGUGCCAGCAGCCGCGGUAAUACGGAGGGUGCGAGCGUUAAUCGGAAUUACUGGGCGUAAAGGGCACGCAGGCGGUUAAUUAAGUUGGAUGUGAAAUCCCCGGGCUUAACCUGGGAAUGGCAUUCAAGACUGGUUAGCUAGAGUCUUGUAGAGGGGGUAGAAUUCCAUGUGUAGCGGUGAAAUGCGUAGAGAUGUGGAGGAAUACCGGUGGCGAAGGCGGCCCCUGGGACAAAGACUGACGCUCAUGUGCGAAAGCGUGGGGAGCAAACGAGGAUUAGAUACC
rnacentral:rRNA from 1 species